rnacentral:rRNA from 1 species
CCUACGGGCGGCAGCAGUGAGGAAUAUUGGUCAAUGGGCGCGAGCCUGAACCAGCCAAGUCGCGUGAAGGAUGACUGCCCUACGGGUUGUAAACUUCUUUUAUAAAGGAAUAAAGUGAGGCACGUGUGCCUUUUUGUAUGUACUUUAUGAAUAAGGAUCGGCUAACUCCGUGCCAGCAGCCGCGGUAAUACGGAGGAUCCGAGCGUUAUCCGGAUUUAUUGGGUUUAAAGGGAGCGUAGAUGGGUUGUUAAGUUAGUUGUGAAAGUUUGCGGCUCAACCGUAAAAUUGCAAUUGAUACUGGCAGGCUAGAGUACAGUUGAGGUAGGCGGAAUUCGUGGUGUAGCGGUGAAAUGCUUAGAUAGCACGAAGAACUCCGAUGGCGAAGGCAGCUUACUAAACUGCCACUGACAUUGAUGCUCGAAAGUGUGGGUAUCAAACAGGAUUAGAUACCCGGGUAGUC